GACGAACGUUGGCGGCGUGCUUAAUACAUGCAAGUCAACUGAAGCAGUGGUAGCAAUAUCGCUGUGGAGGUGGCGCACGGGUGAGUAACACGUAGGUAAUCUGCCUUCAGGUCUGGCAUAACUCCGGGAAACCGGGGCUAAUAGCAGAUGAUGCAGCGGCUCGACAUCGAGACAGUUGUUAAAGCUAUGGCGCCUGAAGAUGAGCCUGCGUCUGAUUAGCUAGUUGGCGGGGUAACGGCCCACCAAGGCAACGAUCAGUAGCUGGUCUGAAAGGAUGAUCAGCCACACUGGAACUGAGACACGGUCCAGACUCCUACGGGAGGCAGCAGUAAGGAAUAUUGCUCAAUGGGAGAAAUCCUGAAGCAGCAACGCCGCGUGAGGGACGAAGGGCUUUUGCUUGUAAACCUCUGUAGUGAGAGAAAAAAAUCCCAAUCUUUGGGACAUGAUGGUAUCUCAAAAGUAAGCCCCGGCUAACUACGUG
rnacentral:rRNA from 1 species